rnacentral:lncRNA from 1 species
UCAUUUGCUAGUUACUACUGUCAGCUGCCUGCUCUGUGCAGUGUGUUGUGAUGUCUCUCGAGUCUGUUUUAGGGCACAUCCCAUACAUACCAUCUCCGAAGACUGUUCUCUCCAUCAAGCUCGUUCCUUCAGAAGAAAAGGGGUCAUUCAUGCAUCCCUGUGUUUUCCAUGUAAGUGAUCAUCAGUGCCUCGUCGUUUCUGUAUUUUUAACCAUGCGUAGGUAAUAGUUCAUUUUCUGAUCAGUUCGCACCGGUUGGGGUAACAAAAUUUGAAUGUGCAUGUAGUUCAUAACAAAACCCAAGUAUUCUUGUCCAGAGGGAAAUACAAUAUAAAUCUUGAUCGAUAAUCCUGGGAGAGAGACAAAUUCAGAGCUACUGGAAUGGUCAAAUAGUUAUAGUGACACUUCAGGGGAAAGACGAGCUGAUAGCGAUACUGAUCUUUUGCUUGCUUGCAGUGAUCCUGCAAUUUCUGUGCCAUAAAAGCCUAUAGACUAAAAUAAGAAAUAAUCAUCAUCAAUAGUUCUGGAGAUUCUGCUAUAAUAAUCAUCAUCAAUUUCUUGUACCCGUCCUUAUCUGAAAAUUACAAGAACUUGGAUGAUAAUAUUACUGAUCCGGGUAUGCCUUGUGUUGACGUAUAAAUGUAUUGCCUAGUCUCUUCCAUCAGAUCGGUCUUUUGAUUGCAUUGACUAGAGAAUGCACUUCUACAUGGUAUCUAGGCAAAAGGUCUUGAGUUCAAGACCUGGCUGGCGUAAUUAAACUGCAGCCCACUUUCAGUCGACGUUUAGGCCUAAGGAAGCCACACAUGAAUUAAGUUUUUGUAUAGCAGCCUUGAAUUAAGUUUGUUUUUUGGAACAUAAACUGACGAGUACAUAACGGACUUUGCAAGACAGAAAAAAAAUGCCUAACCGACGAGUUGCCGUUGACGAGAACCAUCCACACCAACAAACACAAUUAAGUAGGAUAUGCAGAGUAAUGAAAAGUAAUGCUGGACGACAGAAAGAAGGGAACCAUUGGCUCUUCUCAGCCCACGGCCUGCUUUUGAGCACCCCAGGUUUGCUUCACCUGUAUGCUAUUAGAGUAUUACUAUCCAAUAGAUUCGUAGUCGGAAACCAUUUUGUCGUUCAUAGCAUUACUACUUAUAGCAACCCAACUCAAGCUCUCUAGUCCUCACUUGGUCCUGUCUGUUGCCUGCUCUGUCCAAUGUGAUGGCUGAAGCAGUUUAGGCCAUCACACGCAUACGACUAUUCUCUUUUUGUUUUCUUUUUUGCGGAGAAUCUGAUGACAGUUCUCUCCUCCGAGUGCAUUUCUUCGGAAGCAGGAGCUGAUCCAUGCAUCUUUCUUUUACAUGUAAGUGAUCAUUCAUCGGUACCUCGUAUCUUCUUCCUUCUUUUCACCAUGUGUAGGAAAUCUUUCAUUUUCUGAGACCUAUUGAGUAACAAAAUCUUGCACAAAGUCCUUGCCUUCUCAAUGUGCAUGUAAUUCAUUACAAAAUCCAGGUAUUUUAGUACCGUGAAAUUGGACUGAAAAAAAAAUUCCUCAACGACAAUCCUUGGCUAGAGAGAAAUUUAGAGCUAUCCGCGCGGUCGGAGAGGUACAGUAGAACAGUGAAGAGGUGAUAGUGGAGAAUUAGAAAAUUUGCAUUCUUGUAGUGAUCCUGCAAUUUCUGUGACAAAAAAACUUGUGACUUUGUGAGGACCUGUAGAACGAAGUGAAAAACAGCCAAGAGGGCUGGAGAUUCUGCUUGAGAUGUUCCUUAGGAUGUGCAUGUAUAAUCUCCAUUGUCUAGAUAGUGGAAGACAUGUGCAAGUACCUGUCCUUGUCCCCUUUUUUUCAAGAAAUAUUGCUUACAACACAGGCGCACACACUCACACAUACACACCACCACACACAGCUCCUAGAAGAAGUUACCACGGUCGCCUCACUACUAAUGAGACAUUAAAGUGUCAAACCUGGAGUUUGAUAUCUACUCCCUCCGUUCUAAAAUAGAUGACUCAACUUUGUACUAACUUUAGUACAAAGUUGGGUCAUCUAUUUUGAAACGGAGGGAGUAGUGGGUUGGGGGUAUCACUGUCCUUCUAACCAUCCAACACUUGUUGGUUCUCUUUAUUUGAAUAUUUAAACCCGAACAAUUCUUCUUUAAUAAGAACUAUAUGUGGCAUGUCCAAUCUACUUAUGAAGAAUCAUGAACCCUAAAACAGGGGCAUGGUACCGCAAAUCAUUCACUCACCGGAAUCGGCAUGGGUAGUAGUUUUCUGAAAGGAAGGAUUAGGUACCAUGUAUGGUUUCUGAAUGGUGUUGGCAAUGAACUCAACUUGCAGGUAAAACAAUGCCAAAGUAUGAAGACCGUGGCAACUAGCAUGGUAUUUAACUUUUUCUUUCCUGUGAGGGACAACUUGAUAUAUUUGCAUUAGC